rnacentral:rRNA from 1 species
GAUGAACGCUAGCUACAGGCUUAACACAUGCAAGUCGCGGGGCAGCAUGGGGGUUGCUUGCAACCCCUGAUGGCGACCGGCGCACGGGUGAGUAACGCGUAUCCAACCUGCCCUUCACCACGGGAUAACCCGGCGAAAGUCGGACUAAUACCGUAUGUUGUCCAUUGACGGCAUCCGAUUUGGACGAAAGGCUUAGCGGUGAGGGAUGGGGAUGCGUCCGAUUAGCUCGACGGCGGGGUAACGGCCCACCGUGGCAACGAUCGGUAGGGGUUUGAGAGGAAGGUCCCCCACACUGGAACUGAGACACGGUCCAGACUCCUACGGGAGGCAGCAGUGAGGAAUAUUGGUCAAUGGGCGGAAGCCUGAACCAGCCAAGUAGCGUGCAGGAUGACGGCCCUAUGGGUUGUAAACUGCUUUUAUGCGGGGAUAAAGGAGCCCCUGUGGGCUUUUGCAGGUACCGCAUGAAUAAGGACCGGCUAAUUCCGUGCCAGCAGCCGCGGUAAUACGGAAGGUCCGGGCGUUAUCCGGAUUUAUUGGGUUUAAAGGGAGCGUAGCCGCCCCUUAAGCGUGUUGUGAAAUGCGGGUGCUCAACAUCCGACUUGCAGCGCGAACUGGGGGGCUUGAGUGCGCCGAAAGUAGGCGGAAUUCGUGGUGUAGCGGUGAAAUGCUUAGAUAUCACGAAGAACUCCGAUUGCGAAGGCAGCUUACUGUAGCGCAACUGACGCUGAUGCUCGAAAGCGUGGGUAUCGAACAGGAUUAGAUACCCUGGUAGUCCACGCGGUAAACGAUGGAUGCUCGUUGUCGGCCUGUAUGGUCGGUGACCAAGCGAAAGCGUUAAGCAUCCCACCUGGGGAGUACGCCGGCAACGGUGAAACUCAAAGGAAUUGACGGGGGCCCGCACAAGCGGAGGAACAUGUGGUUUAAUUCGAUGAUACGCGAGGAACCUUACCCGGGCUUGAACUGCGGCG